ensembl:lncRNA
UAAAUAUAUUUCCAAUGAGGCUAUUCACAUGAAAUUUUCACCAGGCAUCAGUAUUAACUCAAGAAAUCCGGAAAUAUAAAGAAUUCAGAACAGUAAAGUCCAUCAAUAAAGUUGUGUAAUAAAGUGGAAUGACACAGGAAAAAAAUAUUGAACAUGCUAACUGAAAUUUAUUUAAUAAAUAGUGGAGAAGCCUCUGUUUGUAACGACAGCUUCAAGACGCUUCCUUUAUGAAGAAAUUAAUUUGCCGCAGUAUUCAGUUGAGAGUUUCCUUUGCUGUAUGCUUCGGAUCGUUGUCCUGCUGGAAGGUCCACCCAUGUCUCAACUUCAUCAUACUGGUGGACGGCAGCAGAUUCUUCUCAAUAAUCUCCUGGAUCACAGGGGAGCCUGGAGCUUAUCCCAGGGAACUCAGAGCACGAUGCAGGGGCCACCCAUCACAGGGUAAAAUUGCACACAGACCCAUUCACACUCUACGGACAAUUUGGAAACCUCAAUCAGCCUACAACGUGUGUCUUUGGACGGGGUUAAGAAACCAGAGUACCUGUAGGAAACCCAGGGUUCGGAAGAACCGGCGGGAUUCGAAACCUGGAGGUGUGAGGUAAACAUGCAUACCACUAAGCCACUGUGCCCCCCAUUUUUAAAGAUAUGUUACAUUCAAUUCCAGAUACAUACUAAAAGGUAUGAGGGUGCCAUCAGACAUAAUAAACUUAAGAGAGCUGGUUAAGUUCGGGCUCAGACUGCACACUGGUGAUGGAGAUUGUGGUGGAGAGGAGAGUACUCGACAAGCUCUCAACCAUCAUGAGUAACUACUCUUUCCAGAUGCUUUCUCCCUGCAUCAAACUACACAACCCUAUCAUUAGUUCAUCCUCCUGACAUUAAUACUCAGACUAAUCUACUUCCUUAAUCUGAACUUUUCUGAUUUUUUCAAUACUUUACAAACGUUUUUAUUAACAUUAUUCAUAUACAUUAUCAUAGUUG